GUGUCAGCAGCCGCGGUAAUACGGAGGGAGCUAGCGUUGUUCGGAAUUACUGGGCGUAAAGCGCACGUAGGCGGCUACUCAAGUCAGAGGUGAAAGCCCAGGGCUCAACCUUGGAACUGCCUUUGAAACUAGGUAGCUAGAAUUCUGGAGAGGUCAGUGGAAUUCCGAGUGUAGAGGUGAAAUUCGUAGAUAUUCGGAAGAACACCAGUGGCGAAGGCGACUGACUGGACAGAUAUUGACGCUGAGGUGCGAAAGCGUGGGGAGCAAACAGGAUUAGAAACCCGCGUAGUCC
rnacentral:rRNA from 1 species